rnacentral:tRNA from 1 species
UAGCCUAGUGGUUAAGGCUAUGGAUCGCCAAUUCGGGGACGACGGGUUCGAUUCCCGU